rnacentral:rRNA from 1 species
UACGGAGGGGGCUAGCGUUGUUCGGAAUUACUGGGCGUAAAGCGCGCGUAGGCGGACCUGCAAGUCGGGGGUGAAAGCCCGAGCUCAACCCCGGAAUUGCGCCCGAAACUGCGGGGCUUGAAUGCGGGAGAGGGAAGCGGAAUUCCUGGUGUAGAGGUGAAAUUCGUAGAUAUCAGGAGGAACACCAGUGGCGAAAGCGGCUUCCUGGCCCGACAUUGACGCUCAUGUACGAAAGCGCGGGGAGCAAACAGGAUUAAGAAACCCGUGG